rnacentral:rRNA from 1 species
UUUACACGACCGUACCGCAAACCGACACUGGUGCGCGAGAUGAGUAUUCUAAGGCGCUUGAGAGAACUCAGGAGAAGGAACUCGGCAAAUUGACACCGUAACUUCGGAAGAAGGUGUGCCUUUAGUAGGUGAACCAUUUACUUGGGGAGCCCAAUGAGGCUGCAAAAAAUCGGUGGCUGCAACUGUUUAUUAAAAACACAGCACUCUGCUAAGACGAAAGUCGACGUAUAGGGUGUGACGCCUGCCCGGUGCUGGAAGAUUAAAUGAUGGGGUGCAAGCUCUUGAUUGAAGUCCCAGUAAACGGCGGCCGUAACGAUAACGGUCCUAAGGUAGCGAAAUUCCUUGUCGGGUAAGUUCCGACCUGCACGAAUGGCGUAAUGAUGGCCACACUGUCUCCUCCUGAGACUCAGCGAAGUUGAAAUGUUUGUGAUGAUGCAAUCUCCCCGCGGAAAGACGGAAAGACCCCAUGAACCUUUACUGUAGCUUUGUAUUGGACUUUGAACAGAUCUGUGUAGGAUAGGUGGGAGGCUUUGAAGUGUGGUCGCUAGAUCGCAUGGAGCCAACGUUGAAAUACCACCCUGGUGUGUUUGAGGUUCUAACCUAGGUCCAUUAUCUGGAUCGGGGACAGUGCAUGGUAGGCAGUUUGACUGGGGCGGUCUCCUCCCAAAGUGUAACGGAGGAGUUCGAAGGUACGCUAGGUACGGUCGGACAUCGUGCUAAUAGUGCAAUGGCAUAAGCGUGCUUAACUGCGAGACUGACAAGUCGAGCAGAUGCGAAAGCAGGACAUAGUGAUCCGGUGGUUCUGUAUGGAAGGGCCGUCGCUCAACGGAUAAAAGGUACUCUGGGGAUAACAGGCUGAUACCGCCCAAGAGUCCAUAUCGACGGCGGUGUUUGGCACCUCGAUGUCGGCUCAUCUCAUCCUGGGGCUGUAGCCGGUCCCAAGGGUAUGGCUGUUCGCCAUUUAAAGAGGUACGUGAGCUGGGUUUAAAACGUCGUGAGACAGUUUGGUCCCUAUCUUCCGUGGGCGCAGCAGAUUUGAGGAAGCCAGCUCCUAGUACGAGAGGACCGGAGUGGACGAACCUCUGGUGUAUCGGUUGUCACGCCAGUGGCAUUGCCGAGUAGCUAAGUUCGGAAGAGAUAACCGCUGAAAGCAUCUAAGCGGGAAACUCGUUUCAAGAUUAGAUCUGCCGGGGCCUUGAGCCCCCUAAAGAGUCGUUCAAGACCAGGACGUUGAUAGGUCAGGUGUGGAAGC